rnacentral:rRNA from 1 species
AUUGAACGCUGGCGGCAGGCCUAACACAUGCAAGUCGAGCGAGCGGCGGACGGGUGAGUAAUGUAUGGGGACUGCCCGAUAGAGGGGGAUAACUACUGGAAACGGUGGCUAAUACCGCAUACGAUCGGAUAACCCAUAUGGGAUUAGCUAGUAGGUGGGGUAAAGGCUCACCUAGGCGACGAUCCCUAGCCGGUCUGAGAGGAGGAUCAGCCAAGCUGUGACUGCGACACGGCCCAGACUCCUACGGAGGCAGCAGUGGGGAAUAUUGCACAAUGGGCGCAAGCCUGAUGCAGCCAUGCCGCGUGUAUGAAGAAGGCCUUAGGGUUGUAAAGUACUUUCAGCGGGGAGGCGUUACCCGCAGAAGAAGCACCGUCUAACUCCGUGCCAGCAGCCGCGGUAAUUC